rnacentral:lncRNA from 1 species
AUAAACUUAAAAAAGAGAAAGAAAGAAAGAAAGAAAGAAAGAAAGAAAGAAAGAAAGAAAGAAAGAAAGAAAGAAAGAAAGAAAGAAAGAAAGAAAGAAAGAAAGAAAGAAAGAAAGAAAGAAAGAAAGAAAGAAAGAAAGAAAGAAAGAAAGAAAGAAAGAAAGAAAGAAAGAAAGGAAGGAAGGAAGGAAGGAAGGAAGGAAGGAAGGAAGGAAGGAAGGAAGGAAGGAAGAGAGAAAGAAAGAAAGAAAGGAAGGAAGGAAGGAAGGAAGGAAGGAAGGAAGGAAGGAAGGAAGGAAGGAAGGAAGGAAGGAAGGAAGGAAAUAAGGAAGGGAGGAAGGAAGGAAGAGGAAGGAAGGAAGGAAGGAAGGAAGGAAGGAAGGAAGGAAGGAAGGGAGGAAAAGGGAAGAA